rnacentral:lncRNA from 1 species
CUCUACUAAAAAUACAAAAUUAGCCGGGUGUGGUGGUGCACGCCGGUAAUCCCAGCUGCUCGGGAGGCUGAAGCAAGACAAUGGCUUGAACCCGGAGGCAGAGGUUAUGGUGAGCUGAGACCCUGCCAUUGCACUCCAGCCUGGGCAACAAGAGCUAAACUGCAUCUCAAUUAAAAAAAAAAAAAAAAAACAACAGUACAGUGAGUGACUAAGUGUUCUAAAUAAAUAAAUAAAUAAAAGCAACAAUCCAUGGAAGAGGUAGACCUUAAAGAUGAGUGGGAUUUGAUCGGAAAACAGUAAAGGCAGAAAUCAGCAUCUCAUCACUGACAACUAUUUAUUAAGCACCUCCAUGUGUUUGGCCAUUAAAUUAAAGUUUUGGGGAUAAAGAGAUGGAAAAUCUUCUUAUUGUCUUUCACCUAAAUACUCUGUGUUUGGGAAAGGCUUAAACAGAUAGCAAAAGACACAGCGACACAAAGAAGCACGCAAUACACAGAGCAAGAGUUUCAGGUAUUCUAAAAAUGCAGGGAACGUAUCCCUGGGACAGAGAGUGAGCAGUUUACAUAGAUCAAAGGGCUCACUCAUGAGAACAACAGCCUUCUCUAAGCCAGGCACUGAAUACUAUGGCUACAAAGAGCUCAGAGUCAACAAGAGGAACCAGGAACUCUAACAUGAUGUGUGGAGCAGGUUAUGAAAAGAGGGGCACCUCUCCCAGUCAGAAGCAUCAGAGAAGGCUUCCUGGUGGCGUUCUUUUCAGAUUUGGUGUUCAUAAAACAACCUAUUAAAGAAGUGGUAGAAGAAAGUGAAAGUUUUCACAGUGGAUUAUGUGAAACACAACUAAUGAAACCAGCCAGAGUUCCGGAGUUCUUUUUUUCCCCAGACUUCUCACCAGCCAAAACGUGUGUGAUGGACUCAUUCACUGCAUCGAUCUUGGACACUGCCCAGCUUCAUGUUCCACUCUCCCAUUUAUCCCACAUUGCUGAGGAUUUCCUGGCUAAGAACUAUCACUUUCCAGAGCUCAUUAUUUUCUGUUGUUUGGCUCAGCAGCACAAGCUGAUAUCCUUUUUAAAAUAUUGUUUUCACAAAGAAAUAAAGUGUCUUCUAACCCAGAAGGGCUCUUGUAUGCAUGUAGGUGAGCAUACAGCACAGAGCCGUGCUGAGGUGUGUGUACCUUGCUGUCACUGUCUCUCCUCCGGGAGGAACAUCAGACUUCUGUACGCCAGGCUUCCCACAGGCCAGGAGGAACACAUCCAAGCCUUGCCAGUCAUUCGCAUCUUAGUAAGACUAAAACUAAUAAAACUAACAACAAAGCUUAAAAUAUACUGA